AGAGCGCCUCUGCUUUCUGCUAUUCAAAUCACUCAGAAUGAAUGCAUCAGUCAAUGCCCCGGGGGAAUGCUUGGUGUUUGUCUCUUAUUAAAUCCUCUUCAAUGUUUGUCAAUGAGAGGUCUCUGCCAAUCUCUUCUGCUUUUGCGUGGAGAGUGGGGGUCCCAGGGGCGAUGUUGUGCGGGAAAUAUCACUUCAUCAGUAUUCCGCUGCCUAUCUGCCCCACUGGUCAAUCAGCUCAGUGUAUGAGGCUUCAGUUACAACCUUAAUCUGAGGAAGAAAGAGAAGCUCCAGUCUGAUGUUUGUUCAAGUUUAAUCCACAACAGACUUAUUUCACUAUAUGCCAUGCCUGAACACACAGACAGAUGACUCUUAAAUUCACCUGGAGAUGAGUCAGCAUUCCCAUCUCAAAAAAAAUCCCCUGCGUAACCCGGUCACAACCCAUUCAAAUGAGCUAUCCCAGAGACUAUAGGAAAGUCUUAAGAUUGAUUAAACACACAGCAGACUAUUUCAUCUGAAUGUUGGACAUUUACGUAGGAUCGGUAAUGAAGAUAAUCAAUUUAAAAACAGUGAGACAAGGGAGUCAGAGUGCACGCUAUUCACAUAAUUGCACCCGCUCAGAAUAGCUUAUGAAUCUCCCCGCGCAGAUAUAUGUCGAGCUUGGUUGAUUUAAUAGGUAUUGCAUACUGAGUCAUUGUACGUGGCUCCCAGUUGUUGAUGGUCUGCAGCUUUUGCUUUCAUCGUCCUUUGGAUAUGGAUUUUACAGCCUUUCCGUUUAUUGGUAGUCUUAAACAAUAAAGAAAUAAAUAAGUUUAAAGAUCGAGUAAGUGACCGCCCAGCUGUCAAACAGAAAGCAGUGUAAAUAAAAUAUCAAAAGCACCCGAAUAUGAUUGACCUUUUGGGGAGAUUCAGGACUUCUAUCUGUCCAUAUAGCCAAUGCCAUUGAAUUAACCUUAUGUGUGCAGGAGAUGAUGGACUCUAGACUACUGCAUUAUUCACCUCGGUGUACUGUCUUUUUAUUAUAUACUGCAUGCUGACACUACCCAUCUUUCUCUUCUUAGCCUCGUGGAAGGCAACAAAGAUUUUUUUAUGCCUUUAAAAAUGCAAAUGCUUCAGGGAGGCAAUGAGGUGUCUUUCCUGAACUAAACUGCUUAAACCAA